rnacentral:lncRNA from 1 species
AUCUAUGGCUCAAUACAUGCCAUGGGCUCAAUUAUGGCUUUCAAAUGCGUGCUAUGGGGCCAGAUCUGUGGGCUCAAUGCAGUGCUAUGGGGCUCAGAUCUAUGGGGCUCAAUGCAGUGCUAUGGGGCUCAGAUCUAUGGGGCUCAAUACAGUGCUAUGGGGCUCAGAUCUAUGGGGCUCAAUGCAGUGCUAGGGCUCAGGAUCUAUGGGGCUCAAUAAAGAGCUAUGGGGCUCAGAUCUAUGGGGCUCAAUGCAGUGCUAUGGGGCUGAGGUGUAGGGCUAUGGCCUUGUUCUAUGGGGGGUGGGGGUGACUUGGGGGGCAGGGGGCUGUGGGGCUCAAUACAUUGCUAUGGGGCUCAGAUCUAUGGGGCUCAAUACAUUGCUAUGGGGCUCAGAUCUAUGGGGCUCAAUACAGUGCUAUGGGGCUCAGAUCUAUGGGGCUCAAUAUUGCAGUGCUAUGGGGCUUCAGAUCUAUGGGGCUCAAUACAUUGCUAUGGGGCUCAGAUCUAUGGGGCUCAAUGCAGUGCUAUGGGGCUCAGAUCUAUGGGGCUCAGAUCUAUGGGGCUCAAUACAGUGCUAUGGGGCUCAAUGAAUGGGGGAACAGCAAUGAAGGGACAUCAAUGGAGGGGACAGCAAUAUGGGGGACACCAAUGAGGGGGACAUCAAUGGAGGGGACAUCAAGGAGAGGGACAUUCAAUGGGGUGGGGCAUCAAUGAGGUGGGGACAUUAGAAACGGGCACCCAAGCAAUGGGGACUGAAUG